rnacentral:rRNA from 1 species
GCUGGCGGCAGGCCUAACACAUGCAAGUCGAGCGGUAACAUUUCUAGCUUGCUAGAAGAUGACGAGCGGCGGACGGGUGAGUAACGCGUAGAAAUCUACCUAGUAGUGGGGGAUAGCCCAGAGAAAUUUGGAUUAAUACCGCAUACGCCCUACGGGGGAAAGCGGGGGAUCUUCGGACCUCGUGCUAUUAGAUGAGUCUGCGUCGGAUUAGCUUGUUGGUGAGGUAAUGGCUCACCAAGGCGACGAUCCGUAGCUGGUCUGAGAGGAUGACCUGCCACACUGGAACUGAGACACGGUCCAGACUCCUACGGGAGGCAGCAGUGGGGAAUAUUGCACAAUGGGCGCAAGCCUGAUGCAGCCAUGCCGCGUGUGUGAAGAAGGCCUUAGGGUUGUAAAGCACUUUCAGCAGUGAGGAAAGGGGUGUCGUUAAUAGCGCCAUCCUGUGACGUUAACUGCAGAAGAAGGACCGGCUAACUCCGUG